rnacentral:rRNA from 1 species
UUAAGAGCUUUGGCUGUGGCGNCGUUCUANUUCGCUUNCCAACAGCGGGUCAUGAGAGGUGUGAGAGCCCCGUCUGAGGCCGCCGACCGCUAUCCGCGUAAAGCUCCUUCGACGAGUCGAGUUGUUUGGUGAAUGCAGCUCCAAAUGGGUGUGUCAAAUUUCAUCUAAAGCUAAAUAUUGGCCAGAGRCCGAUAGCGCACAAGUAGAGUGAUCGAAAGAUGAAAAGCACUUUGAAAAGAGAGUUAAAAAGUAUGUGAAAUUGUUGAAAGGGAAGCGCUGRCCACCAGACCGAAGCGCGRCGGCUCCCCCGGCUGMCCAGCCGGRCUAUUCUGCCGCGCUCCGGCCASGCAUCGGUUCGGGUGGWCGGUCACGGCUCCCGKGAAAGYAUCUACSCCCGGGUCKACUUAUAKCCUGGGACACACGCGACCUACYCGGACCGAGGAACGCKCUUCGRYCCGKAUGCUGGCGUAAUGGUGGKCASCGSCCCGUCUUGAAACACGGACCAAGGAGUCUAACAUCUAUGCGAGUGUGCGGGUGUCAAACCCCUGCGCGAAAUGAAAGUGAACGGAGGUGAGAGCCCCCCGCGGGGUGCAUCAUCGACCGAUCCUGAUGUCUUCGGAUGGAUUUGAGUAAGACGCAUAGCCGUUGGGACCCGAAAGAUGGUGAACUAUGCCUGRAUAGGGUGAAGCCAGAGGAAACUCUGGUGGAGGCUCGCAGCGGUUCUGACGUGCAAAUCGAUCGUCAAAUUUGGSCAUAGGGGCGAAAGACUAAUCGAMCCAUCUGGUAGCUGGUUCCCGCCGAAGUUUCCCUCAGGAUASCAGCAACAGCCUUCAGUUUUAUGAGGUAAAGCGAAUGAUUAGAGGUCCUUGGGGUUGCAACAACCUUAACCUAUUCUCAAACUUUAAAUAUGUAAGAAGUCCCUGUUGCUUCGUUGAACGGGGACAUUGAAUGGAUCGUGCUAGNG